rnacentral:rRNA from 1 species
ACGCGUACGGAGAAUUAGGGUUCGACUCCGGAGAAUGAGCAUGAGAGACGGCUCAUAGUUCUAAGGAAGGCAGCAGGCGCGAAAAUUGUCCAAUGUACGCUAGUACGAGACAGUGACGAUAAAUCUUCAGCCGAGUAAUCGGUAUGAAGCUGAAGCAAGUGUAUAUGCCUUGCUAAACGCAAUUAGUGGGAAAGCAUGGUGCCAGCAGCCGCGGUAAUUCCAUCACUGAUAGCCUUCUCUUACGUUGCUGCAGUUAAAAGGCUCGUAGCCGUUGGUAGCAUUGCGUGUCACUUUGAGAAAAUCGGAGCGUUCAUAGCAGGCAAGCCGUUGCACAGUGCAGCAAAGCACGACAUCGUAUCCCUCGGGGUAUAUGUAGUANAUGGCAGUGCNGUGGUUGAUGGUAUCUGAUGGGGACAGGUGAAAUANGAUGAUCCAUCAGGGACCUCCANGAGCGAAAGCAGUCAACAGCACUGGCCAGUU